AAUAAGGAUUUGGGAUGAAGAUUUGCUAGAACAUAGCAGCUUUAAUAGCCAGUCCCAUGCACCUCCCAACAGUCCCCAGAUCACUCAAUUUGAACAUUUAUCCAAGCUUGACUUCUAGAUCCCUUCCUAACAUAUAAUCUAAGAAACUUGGAAGCAAGAAGACAAUAAAACGAUGCCUUUAAGAUGCUACAGGAAGGGGCACCUGGGUGGCUCAGUCGUUAAGUGUCUGCCUUUGACUCAGGUCAUGAU